rnacentral:rRNA from 1 species
UACGUAGGGUGCAAGCGUUGUCCGGAAUUAUUGGGCGUAAAGAGCUCGUAGGCGGUUUGUCGCGUCUGCUGUGAAACUCGGGGCUUAACUCCGGGCCUGCAGUGGGUACGGGCAGACUAGAGUGCGGUAGGGGAGACUGGAAUUCCUGGUGUAGCGGUGAAAUGCGCAGAUAUCAGGAGGAACACCGGUGGCGAAGGCGGGUCUCUGGGCCGUAACUGACGCUGAGGAGCGAAAGCGUGGGGAGCGAACAGG